UGAAAGUACAGAUUUCUCCGGAGAAUCAGUAAGGGGAGAACCUCUGAUAUAUCAUACAGUAUCUCAAUCCUCAUUUUCAUUAUGUCAUCUUUAGUUAGAACCUUUUAUGAGGUAAGCUCGAUAACACAGUCACGAAGAACCUAGUUUUUGAACCGUAUCGUUAGGAGUUUUGAUUCGGUUUUUCGUAAAUAGUCUCAAUUUGAC
rnacentral:lncRNA from 1 species